UGAUUCAAAUGUCUCUAUUCUGUUACUUUUCUUGGUCCUUUUGUUACUUAUAUAUUGAUUAGGGCUCUGAAAGUUUGACCUAUGCAAUCAAUUUUGUCUUUGUCAAUCUGUGGUUUUGAUACUUGAUAACCUUCUAGGUUCUUUUUGUUAUAAAUUAGGAGGAGUAGGGCUUCUAUUUAAUUUGCUCUUUGUUUUGUGGAAGUGACUAGCUGAUCAAUCACCUUGUCCGAAAGAGCACUCAGAUAUGGGGAAAAAGUUCAUCCUCAUCAUCGCCUUCUUCUUAUUAGCUAUUUCUAUUUUCAUUGUUUCUUUUAUUUGUUAGAAGUAUUACUUUGUUUGCAGCUAUUGUCACUAAAAUGAAUUUAGAAUUCUCUGAAAUCAACUUAACCAAGCUAAAGCAUGAAGGUAUCUACUUCAUUGCCUUAGCAAGCAUAUGAGGCUCUCUGAGUGUAGAUAGAUCCCUUUGCAAUUCUAACUAAUAUAAUAUUAGUAAAAGACUCAACUUUUAAGGUAAAAAACAUGGUCAAAACAAAUGUAUUAGUAUUUCCAUAAAUGUGGAUGAGGAGUGUGUUUACAGAAUGAGAGUGUUAUAUGUUAUACCUUUUUACUUGGUUGCUCUAUUAGAUCUUCAUUUGUUCAAGCCACUUACAUUGAAAAGAUGGAAGAACAGCUUGCACUUCAUCCUCAUUUCUAUUAUGAUGUAAAAUCUGAGUGAAUAAACAUAAAUCCUUCCGAAUAUCAUGAAUAUCCUUCGCCCUCCACCUUUCAUUCGUUUCAAUGGUUAUAUUUCAAUUUCUGCCAAAAUUGACCCUACUUCAAGUACUGUUAUUUUGCCUUCAAAGAAUUUUUGAUUCAAUAUCUUAAUAAUGGAGGCUCAUGUCACUUCGUUAUUUUACUAUUAGUCGCUCAGUCGAGUACAUCGUUUUAUAAAUGAUUUGCUUUUAGCAAGAUAUUCACAUGAACUGUGGUUCAUUUUUCUGGUGAAAUAAAUUAAUAUAGUGAACAUGUUCAUUUUCAGUUUUCGAUUACAAGAUGUUGAAUAAUUGGAUCAUUAGACAAUACAUACCAGUUUUGAAGGAAUUGAAGUCAUGGUGAUUUAUAUAGAAAUGUGAAAAGGACGACGACCAAGGGUAGAGCAGUCAUUUAGCUCAGUUAGUGCAGGGGUAGAACAGUUAUUACACAUAACUAAUUUUUGCAAAUUCGUACUUCCUUUCCCUUCUAGAUUGUUUCCUUUGGGUCUCUCUUUCCUCGAGAUCACUUCCAGAUUAACAAUUGUUAAAGUACUCGACCAUCUUCCUCAAACCUCUGCUUCUCCUUUGUGCUCAAACUAGGUAGGUUCCCAUCUUUACUAUCAAUUUGUAUGUUAAAGUAGGUUGUAACACAAUUGAUGCUGGGCUCUUCAUGCUUCUAUAAAGUAGUUGUAGUUUUUUUGUUUGUAGCAAGCAUUAUUGGAUUGUACAUAUGUGAGUUUCUUGUUAAAAGAUUUCUGACUAUCAUCAGCUGUUUGAAAAUUGGAGCUGCACUAAGUUUUAAAACUUUCUUAAUCUAUAGGGUUAUUUGUCACUUAGCUUAUCACACUAGAAUGUAAACAGUCAAUGUUCUUAUGCUGGUUAUAAGCCCGACAUCCAAUUUUCUUACAAGAAGGUGGUCAUUGAGCUAGCUUGGUCCGACAAUACUCAAGCUGCGUUAUUAUUGAACCUAUCAUUAGUCAUUACACUCUGGAUGAUAUAAAAGUAUCAGAUAUUUGAGUAUAUGCUGAUACAUCCGAGGUAUGCGAUGAAGCACUUAAGUAUCUCAAGAAAGGCGAACAUGGUAGAAGUUCAUCCCAGUAGAGUGACACUCACUUGAGCCUGCAAGACUUUUUCAGCUUUAAAGGCAUAACAUCACUUGUAAGUGAUACUACUUUAGCUUAACAAGGAUUUCCCCAGUUAAAUUUAUCACUUUGAUAAUGCAUGUCGUAUAAUUGUUUGUUUCAAUUAUUUUUCUUAUCCAUUUGAUAUAUUCAAGAAUAUAGCUUUAACUUGAGGAUUUUACCCCUGGGUUUAAGACUAUCCUUUUCCUCAUUUUUCUUUUGAUCAAACAAUUACCAAGAAAUGAAAAAGAGAACUGAUCUUUUCGUUGUCGUGGCUUUCACAAUCGUCCUUUGCUUUUCAUUUUCCUAGCUAAUGGUUUUGUCUUUCUUUUGGGAAUUUGGUUCCAAGUGUAGGCCUUGCAAUCUUCUUCAGAUCAGUUGCUUUCUUCUUGCUAGCAAAGUGUUUUUUUGUAAUGUAAGUUAUUUCAAUUGAGCAAGAAAAAUUGAAAUCGAGUACUAUGUGUGUAAUCCAAGUUCUAUCAUUUGGUUUUUCUUGAAAUGUAGGUUUCUGAAUUGAAAGCAAAAUUUGAGCAGAACUCUGAUAAGGAAUGAACACAAUCUAUUAAAUGUUUCCUCUUUCCAGAUUGUUUGGUUAUGAAAUCGCAGUAACUUUAUUAAUUCUUUUUCAGCUUUGUUGAUGUUAAAGUGGCCCUUAUAUAGAUAUCUAUUUCUUUUGGCAAUAGAAUUUAAGUUAUAUACACCGUUAUUAUAAAGAAAUUUUUUCCAUGGUCAGGUCAGCCAAAUGAUAUACUACAGGCAUGCCUCCAUAAAAUGUGGAUUUGUAAUCUUGAAGAUAAGAAAGGUUACUUCUAUAACAGGUGAACGAGACUUGAUGGUGUAAAAAUUCCUUAAAACUGGCAGGCGACAGCAUAUAUAACUUAAAAACUCUUGGCAAUGUGAUGUGGAUUUGGAGCAUAAGUACUAUCUUAGCCUAUGUGUAGUUCAAGUUCAAUCAUUUACUUUGUCCACAAAAGAAAGUUCUAUCAUUUGGUUAUUCUUGAAAUGCAGGUUUCUGUAUCGAAAAGAAUCGGAAAAUAAAGUAAUGUUUUAAGUAGAAAUCAGGUAAAGAAUGAACUCAAUUUAUUGAAUUUUACUCUUUUUAGAUUGCUGGUUAUGAAAGCUUAGGACUUCAAGGAUAUUUUCCAUUUUUACUCUUUUCAUCUAAUAAUCUAUUUUUGUUCAUGUAAUCUCUCUCUCUCUCUCUCUCUCUCUCUCUCUCUGUGCAGGUCGUUGUUGAUGCAUUCAGUAGAAAUUUGGCCAAAAUUUGACCAAGCAAUGGGGCAUGAAAAGUUAUCUAAGUUCAAUGCUAUUAUGGCAUGCCUUUUAUAUGAGAUACUGCUGGUUUGCUUUAACCAUAGACUCGAAAAGAUGAACAAUAAAUACCAAAGACUACAUUCCUGAGUACAAGGUUGGGGGGAAUAUGACAUUGCCAUGGCUGCUCUGUGCCUCCAUGAGAUGCUGGUUGGCAUCAAUAUGCUCUCGAUAUAUGUAAUAAAGUUGUGGACUUGUGUCUUAAUACUAACAGACCAUUUAUUUUCAUAUGUGAUUCUAGCUGAAAUUUUUUGGAUUGUAGAAAUUGUGUAGUGGAUGCAUUAUAAUCGCUCUGUUUCUUCAUUUUGCGGCGUGGUCAUUAGUUCAAUCCGUAAUAGAUGGCUACACUUGCAGUAGAAAAGAAUCCAAGCUCUAAGGAAGAUGUGCCUUUUCUAGAUUCAA